rnacentral:lncRNA from 1 species
UUCAGAGUCAUGGAGAGUGACUAUCUGUUGCUUACGACGGCGACGACGGUCGGUGUUAUCCAUUGCUAUUGAAGAUAGUAAGAAGAAGAAGAAAAUAGAGGUAAGGUAAAUGGAAUUCGAGGUUUAGUUGGAGAAUGCAAUAAAAGAAAAAUGUGAGAGAUGAGAAUUAUAUAGAGAAAAAGAAGAGAGGAGAGAGAGAUGAAGACGAGGAAAUGCCCAACGAACAGCCUUUGCAAACUAAUAGUA